AGGAGAUGAUACCAUGGCGAAUUGACCAUCAUUCUGCUUGUCAGCACAGCUUUUGCUCUGGGAGAUGCUAUGAUACAACCCAAGACCCCAUGUGAGGAUGCUAGACAUGCUGCUUUAAAUGGCUCAAUUGGAGCCUAAGUCCCCACGUGUGAUGACAAUGGACAAUACACCCCCGAGCAAUGUUGGGGCUCUACAGGUUACUGUUGGUGUGUGACCAGUACCGGACAGAAGAUCCCGGGUACUGAGACUCCACCAGGCACUGCUAUCAACUGCUAGCAACUAUUCCACCAAGAUGAAAGGCAUUGGAAGUAAGAUGUAGAAGACUGACAGUUGCCUUUACUGUACUACAGGAACUGAAUCACAUUCCAUACAAAUAAAUACAUGAAGAAAUCCUAAUAUUAAA